UACGGCGUGGACUACCAGGGUAUCUAAUCCUGUUCGCUACCCACGCUUUCGCACCUCAGUGUCAGUACAGAUCCAGGAGGCCGCCUUCGCCACUGGUAUUCUUCAUAAUAUCUACGCAUUCCACCGCUACACUAUGAAUUCUACCUCCCUCUAUCGUACUCUAGUGAGUUAGUUUUGGAUGCAGUUCCUAGGUUGAGCCCAGGGCUUUCACAUCCAACUUAACAAACCACCUACGCGCGCUUUACGCCCAGUAAUUCCGAUUAACGCUUGCACCUUCCGUAUUACCGCGGCUGCUGGCACGGAAUUAGCCGGUGCUUAUUCUGCAGGUAACAUCAAGGUUAUAAGGUAUUAGCUUAUAACUUUUUCUCCCUGCUUAAAGUGCUUUACAACCCGAAGGCCUUCUUCACACACGCGGUAUGGCUGGAUCAGGCUUGCGCCCAUUGUCCAAUAUUCCCCACUGCUGCCUCCCGUAGGAGUCUGGGCCGUGUCUCAGUCCCAAUGUGGCUGAUCGUCCUCUCAGACCAGCUAAAGAUCGUUGCCUUGGUGAGCCUUUACCUCACCAACAAGCUAAUCAGCCGCAAGCUUCUCUCUAGGCGGAAAAAUCCGUUUCACUAAAAAGCAUAUGGGGUAUUAGCAAUCGUUUCCAAUUGUUAUCCCCCUCCUAGAGGUAAAUUCUUACGUGUUACUCACCCGUCCGCCACUUGAGUUAAAAACUCCCGUACGACUUGCAUGUGUUAGGCAUACCGCCAGCGUUCAUCCUGAGCCAGGAUCAAACUCU
rnacentral:rRNA from 1 species